UCAAACUUGGUCAUUUAGAGGAAGUAAAAGUCGUAACAAGGUUUCCGUAGGUGAACCUGCGGAAGGAUCAUUAUUGGAUUGAGGGUCACGAGCUUGCUCGGACCCGUACCACAAUCAAUAACCUCUUGUGAACCUGUCGGCCCUCGGGCCUUCAAACUCCAAACUUUGUGUGUUGUAUGAACGUCAUGUCUAAAAACAUAACACAACUUUCAACAAUGGAUCUCUUGGCUCUCGCAUCGAUGAAGAACGCAGC
rnacentral:misc_RNA from 1 species